UUCCCCACGCCGAGAAUCGAACUUGGGCCUCCUGGGUAAGAGCCAGGUAUCCUAGCCACUAGACCACAUGGAA
rnacentral:tRNA from 1 species